UCAUGUGUCAACAAAAUUUAUUUUUUUUUCAUGUCUCGUCAGUAUAAUUAGAUGAUGUGUCAGUCACAUUAGUGUAGGUGGCAUGUCUGUUAACGAGAGGGGCAGAGUUGAGUUAAAAUUUAUAACGUUAAGGGUACUUUUGGAAGAAAAAAAUUCAAGGUGUAAGUGGGAAUUCAGAAAAAAAUAUUAGGGGAAUUUUUAGUCCUUUGCCCUAUAUUUAAUACUAUACAUUUAUUUUUCUAAUUUUUAUGUAUAACUUUAAAUCGUCAUAUAUAUUAAGAGAGAGAGAGAGAGGGAGUAGUAAACUUUAACUAUCAUAGUGUAG
rnacentral:lncRNA from 1 species